CUCAUCAGUGUGUUUUAAGAAGUGAUGAAGCUCAUAAUUUACUGUCUGGGAAUAUUAACUUGUAUGGCUCAUGCCUUAUAAUGCUCGGCGGCAAUGCAAAACAAGCACCGUUUCUUCAAAGAUUCUUCUUCAACUUGAAUCUUCAACCUGAGUUUAAGCCACACCUCUGCCUGCUGGGAAUAGCUCCAUCUAGAGACAGCUUUUCUCCCCCUUUCCUGGGCCAACAUUUUCUUGCCAAUAAUGGCUUCCUGUCCUGAUGAGGAGAGUUGUUUUGAGAACUUGGCAAAUGGGGAGGCAACAGGCAAGAGAAAUGGAAGCUUGACAACUCAGGCUCCAUGCUACUGAAGAAGUAUUGAGACAAUUUUGAUAUAUUUUUGGAAGAAAAGGGCUUCAAGCAACAGAGUGCAGAGAGGUAAGGCAGAGGAGGGAGGCAGGUUUUCCUCCUCCACGUGCUCCUUUUCAUCUGACAAAUGGGCCGCAUCCACUCCUGCUUUGACUGUGGGUAAAAUCGUCGGGUUCCUGCAUCGCAUCUAUCUUGGCCCUUUUGGUCUUCCAAUAUGUCCAAAUGACUGAAUGAAUGUAUUGUUUUGUGCUCUCUGUUUUCUGGAAUCGUAGGAAGUUCCAGGGCAGGGCAGCCUUUGAGCAAGGUCAGCUUCCUCGUGAGCAGAGAGAGUGCUGGAGACAGAUGGUGUUUUUGUCAUAUCAGUUUGUUUACAAAUAUACAUGCUGAGCAGAAGGAUGAUCAUCUUUAAAGUACCAUUGUCUUCAAAGUACUAUCAAGUUCCACAAAAAUAACAGCAUGUCCAGGCUGCCACUUACCAGGCGGCUGCAAAUGCUGUUUCUCUAAUGUUAUUUAUCAAAUGUGAAGGGUCCUAAACCUAUGUUGAUAGUGUAAUGCUAAUUAGAGAUUUGCAUGGAAUGAAUUUUUUGAUUUAUCUCAAAUUCAAAUCGAAUUCUGAAAAUUCAUUUUGAAUUCAAAUUAAAUUUGAAUUGAUUUGACCCUGUUUUAGCACCUUUUUUAACCAAUCAGGGGGGCUGAAUUGUUUUUAAAAGGUGCCAAACAGCUCUUGAAUAUUUGAAUUUGAAUAGGAUUUCAAAAAUUCAAUUAGAAUUUGAAUUAAAUUGCCCUUUUAAGGGGUGAUUUGCUUCAAAUUCAAAUCACUCAAAUCACCCAGAUUCAAGUCGAAUCUAUUCAAAUUUGAAUCGAUUUGCACAUCCCUAAUGCUAAUGUCAAAGACUGCAAGGGAGGAAUGCUGGGUGGAAGGGAAUGCUUAACCUUUUCACACCCUCCAAUUCUCUACCACAGAGGUUCCCAAUCUUGGGGCCCCAGAUGUUCUUGGACUACAGCUCCCAUUAUCCCCAGCUACAAAAGCUUCACGACUGAUGAUGAUGGGAGUUGUAGUCCACCAGCAUCUGGGGACCCAAGUUUGGGAACUCCUGCUCUACUACAAGCCCUUCCUUUAAUAUCUCCUGUGUUUCCAGUAAGGGUCCUCUGCCAUAUCAAUUCUAGAUGUUUUGGGAUAAAAUGCAUUGUUUGGAUCCAUUUCCAUCUGGCCUCCGGCUAUGAUUCAGAAUGGGCUGUGCAUCGGAUGCUCCAGUCUUGAUGAGUUUUCAAUACCCCCGGUCAUGUAUAAGCAGCCAUUCCCAGUGUGGUCAUCUCUUCUGUUGUAGCUGAAGCCUGUACAACCAUCUGGAAAGGCACAUGGGGAUAUCAGGAAGAUAGUCAAGGAUGCUGGGAAGGUGCACUGGGACGUCUGGGAAAUGUAGAUCCACCCCAUAGAAAAGUGCUGGAAGGAACUACACUUCCCAAAUAUACUCGCCAGUGUUCCUUGUAACAAGGAUUCCUAAAUGUUGUUGAUUACAACUCCCAGCAUCCCAGCUUGGCUGGGGAACACUGAUCCCUAAGUGCCUUCCUGACAUUUAUUUAUUUAUUUGAACUUCUUACAUACCACCUCCUCCAAAGACUCUAGGUGGUGAACAACAAAAAGGCCAACAACAAUCAAUUUUUUUAAAAAAAAUUAUUAGAGGGCAAACACCUGGCAAAACAGGUCUGUCUUAACUUAAGAAGGGCCUCAAAAGCAGCCAGGGAGGGGGCUGGACGAAUCUGGGGGUGGGGAGAGUGUUCCAAAGAAGAGGGGUGGCCACAGAAAAGGCCCUCCUAUGGGCCCAGGUUCAUUUCCAUAUGCCUUCCCAACCAGCCCCACAAGUUCCAGUUUCAGUAGAAGAGAGCCCCCUGCUCCCCACCCAGCACCAGAAGUGUGAGGAACAGUACUAAGAUCCAUGCUGGAAGCAGCCACAUCUGUGCACUCCAGCACCUGUGUAUUAUGUAUGUGAGCACACUACAAAUUCAUCAUGAUCAGAGUGUUCUUUACACAGACUUACUUUAAGGGAAAAGACUGCUUUGAUUGCCCUGAUAAAUGACCUGUACCAAGAGAGAGAGAUGGAGGGAGUGUGUCCCUAGUCAUUUUCCUGGAUCUUUCUGUUUACUCAGGAUUUUAAAAUUUGAUUUUUUAAAAUUGACUUUUAAAAAAAGAUUUAAAAUUGUUUUGUACUGUAUUUUGUAUUCUUUUUUGUGUUGUGAUUUGAUGUGUUUUAUGUUUUUAUUGGAUGUUUUAAUGUUAUGUGGUGAGCCACCCAGAGAACAGUUUGUUAUGUGGUGGCUAACAAAUAAAGUUUAUGGUGGUGGUGAUUGUUAAAAAUAAUCUCUCUCUAGUGUUACCAAGAUAGCCUGUUCCGGGAGCUCUCUGGAGCUCCCCAACAUCAGAUUUGGAGGUACAGGCUUGUAGUUCCCAUUUCGUCUCUCUGAACUCACGAGAUCGUGGGCUCACCAUUUGCUUACAUGUGCUAACUCAUAAGGGUAUGUCACUUGGGAGGUAGCAUGGGGAAAGGUAACUCUAGGUCAAGCCUAACCUGCAACUGAAAGAGGACUAUUCCUCUGCUCUCCUCUCUGAUUCCAGCACAGGUGAGGAAGCCAGUGAGGAAGUACUUAAUUAAGUGCUCUUCUCUUAACAAACAGAAUAGCCAAAUACUAUGUUGGCAUAUCAGAUUAGCUUUGAGCUUAUCGCCUUCGCAGGAAGGAAUAAGAUAAGAGGUAACAGGCUCAUCUCUCUCUAGCAGAAGCAUUAAUGGGUGACCCGAGGCUUGGGAGGUACGCUUUUUAAAACGUUCCAGCACCUAUCAAGGUCUUCCUGACCACACGCGAUAAGCUCUAAUGUGCCCAUUCCCUCCAUCCUGCACAGGUUUCACAGACCUAUUCACUUCAUUGUGCUUCUAGAGCCCGCCCACCCAAGUUUGAACAAAAUGUAUUAUUUUGUCCAUCAGGAUGUUACCCUUUUCAGCAGAAGGGUGUGGUCACCAUUUGGCCCCAGGGCACGUUGUGGCCUAUUUUUGUCCUUGAGACCCCAGAGCAGUCUUCUCUGGAUUCACCUGUUGCAUGUCUGUGCAUCUGGACUGCUAUACUACCUUGCUGAGCCUGGGCUCUCUGUGCCCAUCCCGCUCUUCACCUCCAGACCGGCUGUUUCCAAGCCUGAUCUGAAACCAGGCCUCCUUGGGACUUCUUCUGGCUUCAUGAUCCGCUGGGGAUACACGGGUCCCUGCUCCUGCAUCCUGCCUCCCUGACUGUACCUGAGGAAUGAGGCCCCUCAACAUCGGCUGAGCAACAAGUGUCCAUACACACCAAUGGAAGGAAGUGAAGUAUACUAAUCCCUGCUCUGAAAUCUCUUGCUCCCCUAUCUUCCUGCUCCCCUUUAAAGUCUGUUCUCGAAGACCAAUCUCUGGUCAGUCUUGAGUGGAUUUAAUUCAGAUCUCAAGCUAAAAUGCCUCUUCCUGGGCUUCAAUUUAGUCCUAUGUAUUGAGUUAUUAGCCUUGUUAGUUUUACUAGUUAAUAUUGUGUGGCUUAUUAAUUAAAAUGUCUCUUCUGUACCCCUAAACCCUCAAAUAAACCUGAUUGCAUUUGAA